UACGUAGGGGGCAAGCGUUGUCCGGAAUCAUUGGGCGUAAAGAGCGUGUAGGCGGCCCGGUAAGUCCGUUGUGAAAGUCGAGGGCUCAACCCUCGAAUGCCGGCGGAUACUGCCGGGCUAGAAUCCGGAAGAGGCGAGUGGAAUUCCUGGUGUAGCGGUGAAAUGCGCAGAUAUCAGGAGGAACACCGGUGGCGAAGGCGGGUCUCUGGGCAGUAACUGACGCUGAGGAGCGAAAGCGUGGGGAGCGAACAGG
rnacentral:rRNA from 1 species